rnacentral:lncRNA from 1 species
CCUCCGAGAGAGAACGAUUUCCGGCGAUUCUUUCCGCGAGCUUCUCGCACUUUCUCCCGGUGAUUUCUUCCACCCCAGGCAAGCCACACCCUCCAUUUGCAUCACUGUAAUGCAGUGACAUGGUUUAAUCUAUUUUAACCUGUUUAAAAUAUUACUUUAGCCACAUGACUCUGUGCAUGGCAUUUUCUCAGAGUAUUAUUUUUGAUCUUGUUGUUGCCAUGUUAUUGUUUGGAUAACUAGGAGUUAUGUUUGUAGUUGAUGAGUAUCAUGUUGCCAUUGAAGUAUUAGUGGCUAAUAUUAUGAUUAUUUCCAUGAUGAUAUCUGUAUGUUUGGAAUAUGACUUUGGAUAUCAUGCUACCUUUGGAUUAUUAGUGGUUAGUAUGAUUAUUUUCAUGAUGCUAGAUGAUGUUAUGUUGCUUGGAGUAUUAUUUUCGGAGAUGAUGGUUACAUGUGGAUCUUAGCUGGAUAGCUCUAUUCUUGUUAUUGGAGUAGUAGGAUUAUUGUUUCGGAUUCAUCAUGAUAGUAGUGUUAUGCUAUCCUCGGAGUAUUCUGAGAUGAUGCUAUUAUGCUUGGAUUAUUGGUUGAAUAUUGCUAUAACUUGGAUUAUAGUUUGAUGGUUGACACCGGAGUAUCAGUUAUCAUGGUUAUAGUUUUGUGGAUAAAUUCCGUCAGUAAGUUGGUCAGAUGCCGCCGAAUCGAACUUUUCCAGUGCAACCACAUUUGCCGGUAUGGGACGGCCCUAACGCGGUCUAUUGUCGUGCCUCUCGCCGGUGCCUCCAACGAGGGAAGGUUAUGGGCGCGCGCUACCCUGAUCAGGUAGGCGGACAUAAGCCUUGUGUACCCGGUUUUGAUUUUGCGCGAGGGUCCCGGAGUGGAUCGGGCCACGACGGUGGUCGUUGUGUUUGGAGGUAGACACGGGGCCACCCAUGACUAGCCCAGUGGGGAGUGAGUCAGAGUGGCCGGGAGAGUGUCAUGGCAGUAGAUCGGUUUUGUCGGAAUGCCGUUGGUCCACCCGAAUGGGAGUGCGAGGCCAUGGGUUCUGUGGUGUGGGUACAGUGCGCUACCUCUGCAGAGUGUGUGUGUUUAAUCUAUCGAUAGCCACGUCCUCGGUCAUGGGCAUGAGUUCGUACUAGGGCACACCGUUCGAUCAACACUCACCUGACGGAAUGACGUAUAGUUGAUGGAUAUGUGGAUAUUUGGAGCAGUACAGAUUGGCCAAGUAUUGGUCGGGUUGUGAUCGCUGUAAGGAUCACGGGCCAUUUGUUGGUCGGGUUGUGAUCGCCGUAAGGAUCACGGGCCAUUUAUUGGUCGGGUUGUGAUCGCCGUAAGGAUCACGGUUACAGUUUGGUUCUGAUCACGAGGUGAUCGAGAUGGUAUAUUGCUUGGACGGUUAGCCAAGAGAGAUAUGGUUAUGGAGAUCGGAGAUGGUGAUUUAUCAGUAUUGUAGUAGUUUCAUAUCAGGCUUAGUAGUUGCUGUUGUAUCAUGGUAGCUGUUAAUUUAAUUAACCUGCUUAAUGCUAUGUUGUUGUCUUGCCUUGAUGUUUUUGGUUGUUGUGAGCUUGCAAGUACACUCAAUGUACUGACCUAGCGUGUCAUGCCAGAUUGCAGGUGAUGUCGUGAUUGCUUGAUUGCUUGUCGUGGUUUCCGUUCGUGCGAGCUAGAUCGUGUCCCAGCCAGAGUCCCUGCGGAGUGGAGUUCACCACCUUCAUCGUUGUUCCGCUGCUAGAAG